UACGUAGGGGGCAAGCGUUGUCCGGAUUUACUGGGCGUAAAGAGCGUGUAGGCGGCUGGGUAGGUCCGUUGUGAAAACUCGAGGCUCAACCUCGAGACGCCGAUGGAAACCCCCCAGCUAGAGUCCGGAAGAGGCGAGUGGAAUUCCUGGUGUAGCGGUGAAAUGCGCAGAUAUCAGGAGGAACACCAAUUGCGAAGGCAGCUCGCUGGGACGUUACUGACGCUGAGACGCGAAAGCGUGGGGAGCAAACAGG
rnacentral:rRNA from 1 species